GGGGAAUAUUGGACAAUGGGCGCAAGCCUGAUCCAGCCAUGCCGCGUGAGUGAUGAAGGCCCUAGGGUUGUAAAGCUCUUUCAAUGGGGAAGAUAAUGACGGUACCCACAGAAGAAGCCCCGGCUAACUUCGUGCCAGCAGCCGCGGUAAUACGAAGGGGGCUAGCGUUGUUCGGAAUUACUGGGCGUAAAGCGCACGUAGGCGGAUUUUUUAGUCAGGGGUGAAAUCCCGGGGCUCAACCCCGGAACAGCCUCUGAUACUGGAAGUCUAGAGUCCGAGAGAGGUGAGUGGAAUUCCGAGUGUAGAGGUGAAAUUCGUAGAUACUCGGAGGAACACCAGUGGCGAAGGCGGCUCACUGGCUCGGUACUGACGCUGAGGUGCGAAAGCGUGGGGAGCAAAC
rnacentral:rRNA from 1 species